rnacentral:rRNA from 1 species
UACGUAGGGUGCGAGCGUUGUCCGGAAUUAUUGGGCGUAAAGAGCUCGUAGGCGGCCUGUCGCGUCGGUUGUGAAAGCCCGGGGCUUAACCCCGGGUCUGCAGUCGAUACGGGCAGGCUAGAGUUCGGUAGGGGAGACUGGAAUUCCUGGUGUAGCGGUGAAAUGCGCAGAUAUCAGGAGGAACACCGAUGGCGAAGGCAGGUCUCUGGGCCGAUACUGACGCUGAGGAGCGAAAGCGUGGGGAGCGAACAGG